UACGAAGGGGGCUAGCGUUGUUCGGAAUUACUGGGCGUAAAGCGUGCGUAGGCGGUUUGUUAAGUCUGAUGUGAAAGCCCUGGGCUCAACCUGGGAAUGGCAUUGGAUACUGGCAACCUAGAAUGUGGUAGAGGGUGGCGGAAUUCCCGGUGUAGCAGUGAAAUGCGUAGAUAUCGGGAGGAACAUCCGUGGCGAAGGCGGCCACCUGGACCAACAUUGACGCUGAGGAGCGAAAGCCAGGGGAGCAAACGGG
rnacentral:rRNA from 1 species